rnacentral:rRNA from 1 species
UACAGAGGGGGCAAGCGUUAUUCGGAAUUAUUGGGCGUAAAGGGCGCGUAGGCGGUGCCACAAGUCACCUGUGAAAUCUCCGGGCUUAACUCGGAGCCUGCAGGCGAAACUGUGGUGCUGGAGUGUGGGAGAGGUGCGUGGAAUUCCCGGUGUAGCGGUGAAAUGCGCAGAUAUCGGGAGGAACACCGGUGGCGAAGGCGGUUCUCUGGGCCUGUACUGACGCUGAGGAGCGAAAGCGUGGGGAGCGAACAGG